CAGCGGGCAGUUAUGCCUUCCUGGUUGGCUCAGGGCGCGAGAGGCGGUCGGUCUGUGGCCAUAAGUGGGGAGUUCUGCCCCUGCUGGUGUUUCCGUGGUGGCUUUAGAUUUGCCAGGGAUCA
rnacentral:snoRNA from 1 species